UAACUCUGGUGUCUCCUCAUUUGCGGAUAAAUCUUUCGCAUUUUACUAAAGAUUUCCGUGGGGAGGCACAAUACAAUGAGUCUUGCCUCAUUUUUUUCAGUUCUGUCUUCGGACGGAGU
rnacentral:snRNA from 1 species